rnacentral:lncRNA from 14 species
UGUUGUGUUACCUUUUUUCUGCCUACUGCAUUAUUAGAAAAUAUUAAUUGUUUUCACUCAGCUUGAAAGUAUCGAAACAAAACUGCAACAGGAAAUAUUCCACUGGCAAUGCCUGGAGGAUGAACAUAAUCACCUGCAGCCGAAAGCAGCAGAUACAACAGCAGCCCAGGAGAAAUGUGAAAUGCUAGAGGGUGGAAUAAAGAAGCUUGAAGAGACACUACUCAGGAUUAAAACACAUAUGGACAAGAAUAUGGUAGAGCAUAGUGAGAUAGAAAAGCAUAAGAGAACCAUUGAAGAGCAACAUAGAAGUCAAGCAAUGGAAGAAAUUAACAAAUUGAACCAAUUUUUACAGGAAGAAGCUGCCUCUGACCAAAAGAAAGAGCAGAGAAAACAGGAUUAUAUCAUGUCGAUGGAGCACAGAAUUAAGGCUAUGGAAGCUGAGAUGGUGGAAAUAAAAUCUCGUACAAUUUCUAUGAAAACAGAACUGAGAUUACAUAAAAAAAGCUAUAGAGCUGAAUUGAAAACUGAAGAAUCUUUGGAAUACGAACUUGAAAAGUAAGUCAGAGCAUAGAUGCAUAGAAAGACGGUGAUUAGAUUUAAUGAGUCCUGUGUCUGUUCUGCCAAAGGGCUUGGCCACUCAGUGAGGCAGGAUAAGGCAAGUUGACAGUGGUUGCUCCAUGCUGUCCCCUGGCA